rnacentral:rRNA from 1 species
AGAGUUUGAUCCUGGCUCAGAUUGAACGCUGGCGGUAUGCUUAACACAUGCAAGUCGAACGGUAACAGAACUAGCUUGCUAGUUGCUGACGAGUGGCGGACGGGUGAGUAAUGCAUAGGAAUCUACCUAAUAGUGGGGGACAACCUGGUGAAAACCAGGCUAAUACCGCAUAAUCCCUACGGGGCAAAGCAGGGGACCUUCGGGCCUUGCGCUAAUAGAUGAGCCUAUGUCGGAUUAGCUAGUUGGUGAGGUAAUGGCUCACCAAGGCGACGAUCCGUAGCUGGUUUGAGAGGAUGAUCAGCCACACUGGGACUGAGACACGGCCCAGACUCCUACGGGAGGCAGCAGUGGGGAAUAUUGCACAAUGGGCGCAAGCCUGAUGCAGCAAUGCCGCGUGUGUGAAGAAGGCCUUAGGGUUGUAAAGCACUUUCAGACGUGAGGAAAAGUAGACUAUUAAUACUAGUUUGCCCUGACGUUAACGUCAGAAGAAGGACCGGCUAACUCCGUGCCAGCAGCCGCGGUAAUACGGAGGGUCCAAGCGUUAAUCGGAAUUACUGGGCGUAAAGCGCGCGUAGGCGGAUAUUUAAGUCAGAUGUGAAAGCCCUGGGCUCAACUUGGGAACUGCAUACGAUACUGGCUUGCUAGAGUACAGCAGAGGGGUGUGGAAUUUCAGGUGUAGCGGUGAAAUGCGUAGAGAUCUGAAGGAACAUCAGUGGCGAAGGCGACACUCUGGGCUGAUACUGACGCUGAGGUGCGAAAGCGUGGGUAGCAAACAGGAUUAGAUACCCUGGUAGUCCACGCCGUAAACGAUGUCUAUUAGCCGCUGGGCAGUUUAACUCUUGCGUAUCGAAGCUAACGCAUUAAGUUCUCCGCCUGGGGAGUACGGUGGCAACACUAAAACUCAAAGGAAUUGACGGGGACCCGCACAAGCGGUGGAGCAUGUGGUUUAAUUCGAUGCAACGCGAAGAACCUUACCUGGUCUUGACAUCCUCGGAACUUAGCAGAGAUGCUUUGGUGCCUUCGGGAAUUGAGUGACAGGUGCUGCAUGGCUGUCGUCAGCUCGUGUCGUGAGAUGUUGGGUUAAGUCCCGCAACGAGCGCAACCCUUGUCUUUAGUUGCCAUCAUUUAGUUGGGCACUCUAGAGAGACCGCCGGUGACAAACCGGAGGAAGGUGGGGACGACGUCAAGUCAUCAUGGCCCUUAUGGGCAGGGCUACACACGUGCUACAAUGGGUGGUACAGAGGGUUGCCAAGCCGCAAGGUGGAGCUAAUCCCAGAAAGCCAUUCGUAGUCCGGAUCGGAGUCUGCAACUCGACUCCGUGAAGUCGGAAUCGCUAGUAAUCGCGAAUCAGCAUUGUCGCGGUGAAUACGUUCCCGGGUCUUGUACACACCGCCCGUCACACCAUGGAAGUAGGUUGCACCAGAAGUAGGUAGUCUAACCUUCGGGAGGACGCUUACCACGGUGUGGCUUAUGACUGGGGUGAAGUCGUAACAAGGUAGCC